GGCUAGUCCGAGUGCAGUGGUAUUUACAACUAAUUGAUCACAACCAGUUAUAGAUUUCUUUGUUCUUUCUCCACUCCCACUGCUUUCAUUUGACUAGCCUUUA
ensembl:misc_RNA Y_RNA Y RNA